GGGCAGUUUAAGCGGCCAAAAGGUUGCCUCUACCUACAGGUUCGGCGGCCGAACCUUGCUUUGGCGGUCGAACCUAGCUUCGGCGGCCGAAUCUAGGUUCUCCAGUUUAGGCAGAACCCGAUUCUGCCCUAGCAUUCAGCCUCCCAAAACACCACAAAACUCACAUGCAAGGACCUCACAACAACCAAACCUAUUUAACAUACCUAAGAGACCUCAAAGACUGCCUCUAACCCAACAUGCAACAACAUAAACACAAGAAGAAGCGUGCAUUAAGCACAUUUAAACUCAAACCCUUCAACGAACAAUGAGGACAAGCAUGCAACUAAAACAAUUAAACCCUCAAAACACAAGCUGAAAACCUUUCGAAAACAAAAGAAAAGCAAGGGUUUUGGUUUACCUCUUGGAGACAACUAUGGUGACAACAACCCAAACUUGGAGAAAGAGGAAAAUCGAUCUCCGGAGGUCUCCAAGUUUUAAAACUUGAAAUGCAACUCGGAUCUUCAAAAUCAUAGUUAAAAACUUAUGAAUUCUCUAGAAGUUGAAGUAAAACGACAAGAAGAACCAAAGAAGCGCAUGAGAUUACCUCUGCCUGAAAAUAGAGAAGAGUUUCUCUCGAUUUUCAUGCUGAAGGCCCUUUAUAGGUGGCUGGAGAAGCCACCUUCGGCGGCCGGAGAAGCCACCUUCGGCGGCCGGAGAAGCCACCUUCGGCGGCCGAACCUUUAAGCCUUGCCAAAACUGAAAUAUUCACCUUAUGAAAAUCCUAUUUUAUGCUUAUAAACAUUCCGGCUUCGAAAUUCUAGAUUUCAAUGGAGAUUUUCAUCGAAAAAUGGGAAUUCCGAUGCUGGAGUUUAGCUGGGUAUUACACCCAAGUUCGAUCCUACACAGAUGGACUUAAAUAAGAGACCAAACAUAACUUUUACAGCACUUAAAACAACCCCCAAGAAACCCCUAAGAACACACAAGAACACUCGUAAGAAACAAACAGAGA
rnacentral:lncRNA from 1 species